CAGGUGGUCAGGUAGAGAAUACCAAGGCGCUUGAGAGAACUCGGGUGAAGGAACUAGGCAAAAUGGUGCCGUAACUUCGGGAGAAGGCACGCUGACACGUAGGUGAAGUGAUUUACUCAUGGAGCUGAAGUCAGUCGAAGAUACCAGCUGGCUGCAACUGUUUAUUAAAAACACAGCACUGUGCAAACACGAAAGUGGACGUAUACGGUGUGACGCCUGCCCGGUGCCGGAAGGUUAAUUGAUGGGGUCAGCGUAAGCGAAGCUCCUGAUCGAAGCCCCGGUAAACGGCGGCCGUAACUAUAACGGUCCUAAGGUAGCGAAAUUCCUUGUCGGGUAAGUUCCGACCUGCACGAAUGGCGUAAUGAUGGCCAGGCUGUCUCCACCCGAGACUCAGUGAAAUUGAACUCGCUGUGAAGAUGCAGUGUACCCGCGGCAAGACGGAAAGACCCCGUGAACCUUUACUAUAGCUUGACACUGAACAUUGAGCCUUGAUGUGUAGGAUAGGUGGGAGGCUUUGAAGUGUGGACGCCAGUCUGCAUGGAGCCGACCUUGAAAUACCACCCUUUAAUGUUUGAUGUUCUAACGUGGACCCGUAAUCCGGGUUGCGGACAGUGUCUGGUGGGUAGUUUGACUGGGGCGGUCUCCUCCUAAAGAGUAACGGAGGAGCACGAAGGUUGGCUAAUCCUGGUCGGACAUCAGGAGGUUAGUGCAAUGGCAUAAGCCAGCUUGACUGCGAGCGUGACGGCGCGAGCAGGUGCGAAAGCAGGUCAUAGUGAUCCGGUGGUUCUGAAUGGAAGGGCCAUCGCUCAACGGAUAAAAGGUACUCCGGGGAUAACAGGCUGAUACCGCCCAAGAGUUCAUAUCGACGGCGGUGUUUGGCACCUCGAUGUCGGCUCAUCACAUCCUGGGGCUGAAGUAGGUCCCAAGGGUAUGGCUGUUCGCCAUUUAAAGUGGUACGCGAGCUGGGUUUAGAACGUCGUGAGACAGUUCGGUCCCUAUCUGCCGUGGGCGCUGGAGAACUGAGGGGGGCUGCUCCUAGUACGAGAGGACCGGAGUGGACGCAUCACUGGUGUUCGGGUUGUCAUGCCAAUGGCACUGCCCGGUAGCUAAAUGCGGAAGAGAUAAGUGCUGAAAGCAUCUAAGCACGAAACUUGCCCCGAGAUGAGUUCUCCCUGAGACUUAGAGUCUCCUGAAGGAACGUUGAAGACGACGACGUUGAUAGGCCGGGUGUGUAAGCGCAGCGAUGCGUUGAGCUAACCGGUACUAAUGAACCGUGAGGCUUAACCUUACA
rnacentral:rRNA from 3 species